AGAGUUUGAUCAUGGCUCAGGACGAACGCUGGCGGCGUGCUUAACACAUGCAAGUCGAGCGGAAAGGCCCUUUCGGGGGUACUCGAGCGGCGAACGGGUGAGUAACACGUGAGUAAUCUGCCCUCCACUCUGGGAUAACGUUCAGAAAUGGGUGCUAAUACCGGAUGUUCACUGGGUCCUGCAUGGGGUUUGGUGGAAAGGGUUUUUCUGGUGGGGGAUGUGCUCGCGGCCUAUCAGCUUGUUGGUGGGGUAAUGGCCUACCAAGGCUUUGACGGGUAGCCGGCCUGAGAGGGUGACCGGCCACACUGGGACUGAGACACGGCCCAGACUCCUACGGGAGGCAGCAGUGGGGAAUAUUGGACAAUGGGCGGAAGCCUGAUCCAGCAACGCCGCGUGAGGGAUGACGGCCUUCGGGUUGUAAACCUCUUUCACCAUUGACGAAGCUGCAUCUUUUUGGGUGUGGUGACGGUAGGUGGGGAAGAAGCACCGGCCAACUACGUGCCAGCAGCCGCGGUAAUACGUAGGGUGCGAGCGUUGUCCGGAAUUAUUGGGCGUAAAGGGCUCGUAGGCGGUUUGUCGCGUCGGGAGUGAAAACCAUGGGCUUAACUCAUGGCUUGCUUUCGAUACGGGCAGACUAGAGGUAUGCAGGGGAGAACGGAAUUCCUGGUGUAGCGGUGAAAUGCGCAGAUAUCAGGAGGAACACCGGUGGCGAAGGCGGUUCUCUGGGCAUGAUCUGACGCUGAGGAGCGAAAGUGUGGGGAGCGAACAGGAUUAGAUACCCUAGUAGUCC
rnacentral:rRNA from 1 species